rnacentral:rRNA from 1 species
AGCAGCCGCGGUAAUUCCAGCUCCAAUAGCGUAUAUUAAAGUUGUUGCAGUUAAAAAGCUCGUAGUUGAAUUUCGGGAUCAAUGUUUCGGUCAUGCCCUUGGUAUGUACUGAUAUUAUUGGUUUCUCACCUUCUAAAGAACCGUAAUGCCAUUAAUUUGGUGUCACGGGGAAUUAGGACUGUUACCUUGAAAAAAUUAGAGUGUUUAAAGCAGCCUCACGCUUGAAUACAUUAGCAUGGAAUAAUGAAAUAGGACAUCCGAUUCUAUUUUGUUGGUUUCUAGGAUCGAUGUAAUGAUUAAUAGGGAUAGUUGGGGGCAUUAGUAUUCAAUUGUCAGAGGUGAAAUUCUUGGAUUUAUUGAAGACUAACUACUGCGAAAGCAUUUGCCAAGGAUGUUUUCAUUAAUCAAGAACGAAAGUUAGGGGAUCGAAGACGAUCAGAUACCGUCGUAGUCUUAACCAUAAACUAUGCCGACUAGGGAUCGGAUGAUGUUAAUUUUUUAAUGACUCA